rnacentral:miRNA from 1 species
AGUUGGACAGGGGAUCUAGACA